GACGAACGCUGGCGGCGUGCUUAACACAUGCAAGUCGAACGGAAAGGCCCUGCGUUUGUGGGGUGCUCGGGUGGCGAACGGGUGAGUAACACGUGAGUAACCUGCCCUUGACUUUGGGAUAACUUCAGGGAACUGGGGCUAAAUCCGGAUAGGAGCUCCUGCUGCAUGGUGGUGGUUGGAAAGUUUGGGCGGUUGGGGAUGGACUCGCGGCUUAUCAGCUUGUUGGUGGGGUAGUGGCUUACCAAGGCUUUGUCGGGUAGCCGGCCUGAGAGGGUGACCGGCCACAUUGGGACUGAGAUACGGCCCAGACUCCUACGGGAGGCAGCAGUGGGGAAUAUUGCACAAUGGGCGGAAGCCUGAUGCAGCAACGCCGCGUGCGGGAUUACGGCCUUCGGGUUGUAAACCGCUUUCGCCUGUGACGAAGCGUGAGUGACGGUAAUGGGUAAAGAAGCACCGGCUAACUACGUG
rnacentral:rRNA from 1 species